rnacentral:tRNA from 1 species
UCCUGGUUAGUCAGGUUUUAAAGAAUCUGCCUGCAAUGCAGGAGACCUGGGUUCGAUCCCUGGAUCAGGAA